UACAGAGGGGGCAAGCGUUGUUCGGAAUUACUGGGCGUAAAGGGCGCGUAGGCGGCCAACUAAGUCACACGUGAAAUCCCCAGGCUCAACCUGGGAACUGCAUCCGAUACUGGAUGGCUUGAAUCCGGGAGAGGGAUGCAGAAUUCCAGGUGUAGCGGUGAAAUGCGUAGAUAUCUGGAGGAAUACCGGUGGCGAAGGCGGCAUCCUGGACCGGCAUUGACGCUGAGGAGCGAAAGCUAGGGGAGCAAACAGG
rnacentral:rRNA from 1 species